rnacentral:rRNA from 1 species
UACGUAGGGUGCAAGCGUUGUCCGGAAUUAUUGGGCGUAAAGAGCUCGUAGGCGGUCUGUCGCGUCUGCUGUGAAAACUCGGGGCUUAACCCCGGGCCUGCAGUGGGUACGGGCAGACUAGAGUGCGGUAGGGGAGACUGGAAUUCCUGGUGGAGCGGUGAAAUGCGUUGAUAUCAUCAGGAACACCGGUGGCGAAGGCGGCUCUCUGGAUCUUUACUGACGCUGAGGCACGAAAGCUAGGGGAGCAAACGGG